rnacentral:rRNA from 1 species
AGCGAACGCUGGCGGCAGGCUUAACACAUGCAAGUCGAACGGGCACUUCGGUGCUAGUGGCAGACGGGUGAGUAACACGUGGGAACGUACCUUUCGGUUCGGAAUAAUCCAGGGAAACUUGGACUAAUACCGGAUACGCCCUUCGGGGGAAAGAUUUAUCGCCGAUAGAUCGGCCCGCGUCUGAUUAGCUAGUUGGUGAGGUAAUGGCUCACCAAGGCGACGAUCAGUAGCUGGUCUGAGAGGAUGAUCAGCCACAUUGGGACUGAGACACGGCCCAAACUCCUACGGGAGGCAGCAGUGGGGAAUAUUGGACAAUGGGCGCAAGCCUGAUCCAGCCAUGCCGCGUGAGUGAUGAAGGCCUUAGGGUUGUAAAGCUCUUUUGUCCGGGAAGAUAAUGACUGUACCGGAAGAAUAAGCCCCGGCUAACUUCGUGCCAGCCGCCGCGGUAA